rnacentral:rRNA from 1 species
AGGAUGAGACUGCGUCUGAUUAGGUAGUUGGUGGGGUAACGGCCCACCAAGCCCAUCAUCAGUACGGGUUGUGGGAGCAAGAUCCCGGAGAUGGAUUCUGAGACAUGAAUCCAGGCCCUACGGGGCGCAGCAGGCGCGCAAACUUUACAAUGCGAGCAAUCGUGAUAAGGAAACCCUGAGUGCCUGUUGAUGCAGGCUGUUCAUUAGUUUAAAUUGCUAGUGAAGAAAGGGCAGGGCAAGACCGGUGCCAGCCGCCGCGGUAAUACCGGCUGCUCGAGUGAUGGCCACUAUUACUGGGUUUAAAGCGUCCGUAGCUUGAUUGUUAGGUCUCUUGGGAAAUCUUCAGGCUUAACCUUAAGGCGUCUAAGAGAUACCGGCAAUCUUGGGACUGGGAGAGGUAAACCGUACUUCGGGGGUAGGAGUGAAAUCUUGUAAUCCUCGAGGGACGACCUAUGGCGAAGGCAGUUUACCAGAACAGCUUCGACAGUGAGGGACGAAAGCUGGGGGAGCAAACGGGAUUAGAUACCCCGGUAGUCCCAGCCGUAAACAAUGUGCGUUAGGUGUAUCGGCAACCACGCGUUACUGAUGCGCCGCAGAGAAAUCGUGAAACGCACCACCUGGGGAGUAUGGUCGCAAGGCUGAAACUUAAAGGAAUUGGCGGGGGAGCACCACAACAGGUGGAGCCUGCGGUUUAAUUGGAUU